rnacentral:lncRNA from 1 species
AAAUCCACCAAUUUUUUAGUACUAUCUCUGUCAGACUUCAGUGGUCUUUGAGGAAGAGAAUUCUUUUUAGCACUGUAGGUCUUAGAAAAAGGAUAAAACAGAAAUGCUCAAACAACUCUAAGUGUCUGUCUCAAGGGAGUCAAGCUUAAACCAUCAUUUAAUCUCUGGUAUGCUGAGACUAGAGGUCUGGGAAAGAAUGUUUCUGUAAAGCAAAACCGGUGAAUUUGGGACUUUUGUUCCUUUUCUGCAAGAACAAGAUUAUUCCGUGCUUCCAGUGCCAUUGUGAAAAAUAACUCACAUAUUUUGAGACCAAAAAUGUCAAGAUGAUUGCAGAUUUGCAAGUAUUGAGCAGAAGCAUCUCUGGAAGACUGGGGAACCUGCCGUGGCAUAAUGCUCGGUAAGAAAUGAGUAAGAAGGCAGGGAAGGAAGCGUUUAUACGAGCUAAAGACGAAACUGCAGCAAGGAAGAAAAAGAGAUGAAAAGGGCUUCUUUCUACAGAAAGACAGACUGGAAGGGGCUGCUAAACAUGAAGAAAAAAGCAUUCACUUCCUGCAGAUCCACAAGGCUGGAAAAGAGAAUCUUUCUAGAAUCAGUUUUUCAGCUGGGGCAGAUGGAUCCUUAACUGCAGGGUUGAUGCAUCUUUGGGUCACAGGGGGGAAAGAUUUUUUGGAGGAAAAACCACCAAACAGAUGGUGAGCUUUUUUUUUUUUUUUUUUUU